rnacentral:rRNA from 1 species
ACGGUACCUCAAGAGGAAGCCACGGCUAACUCUGUGCCAGCAGCCGCGGUAAUACAGAGGUGGCAAGCGUUGUUCGGAUUUACUGGGCGUAAAGGGUGCGUAGGCGGCCUUGUGUGUCAGGUGUGAAAUCCCACGGCUCACCCGUGGAAAUGCACUUGAAACUGCAGGGAUCGAGUUCAGGAGAGGUAAGCGGAAUUCUUGGUGUAGCAGUGAAAUGCGUAGAUAUCAAGAGGAACACCGGUGGCGAAGGCGGCUUACUGGACUGAUACUGACGCUGAGGCACGAAAGCCAGGGUAGCAAAAAGGAUUAGAUACCCUUGUAGUCCUGGCCGUAAACGGUGUGCACUUGGUGUGGGAGGACUUAUACCCCUUCCGUGCCGUAGCUAACGUGAUAAGUGCACCGCCUGGGGAGUACGGUCGCAAGAUUAAAACUCAAAGGAAUUGACGGGGGCCCGCACAAGCGGUGGAGCAUGUGGCUUAAUUCGAUGCAACGCGAAGAACCUUACCUGGGUUUGACAUGGGAGCCCUUCGGGGUUAAUCCGGUGAAAGCCGGGUG